GGAUGAGCCCGCGGCCUAUCAGCUUGUUGGUGGGGUGAUGGCCUACCAAGGCGACGACGGGUAGCCGGCCUGAGAGGGUGACCGGCCACACUGGGACUGAGAUACGGCCCAGACUCCUACGGGAGGCAGCAGUGGGGAAUAUUGCACAAUGGGCGCAAGCCUGAUGCAGCGACGCCGCGUGAGGGAUGACGGCCUUCGGGUUGUAAACCUCUUUCAGUGCCGACGAAGCGGAAGUGACGGUAGGCACAGAAGAAGGACCGGCCAACUACGUGCCAGCAGCCGCGGUAAUACGUAGGGUCCGAGCGUUGUCCGGAAUUACUGGGCGUAAAGAGCUCGUAGGUGGUUUGUCGCGUUGUCCGUGAAAACUCACAGCUUAACUGUGGGCGUGCGGGCGAUACGGGCAGACUAGAGUACUGCAGGGGAGACUGGAAUUCCUGGUGUAGCGGUGGAAUGCGCAGAUAUCAGGAGGAACACCGGUGGCGAAGGCGGGUCUCUGGGCAGUAACUGACGCUGAGGAGCGAAAGCGUGGGGAGCGAACAGGAUUAGAUACCCUGGUAGUCCACGCCGUAAACGGUGGGUACUAGGUGUGGGUUCUUUCCUGAGGAUCCGUGCCGUAGCUAACGCAUUAAGUACCCCGCCUGGGGAGUACGGCCGCAAGGCUAAAACUCAAAGGAAUUGACGGGGGCCCGCACAAGCGGC
rnacentral:rRNA from 1 species